rnacentral:rRNA from 1 species
UACGUAGGGCGCAAGCGUUGUCCGGAAUUAUUGGGCGUAAAGAGCUCGUAGGCGGUUUGUCGCGUCUGCUGUGAAAGCCCGGGGCUCAACCCCGGGUCUGCAGUGGGUACGGGCAGACUAGAGUGCAGUAGGGGAGAUGGAAUUCCUGGUGUAGCGGUGAAAUGCGCAGAUAUCAGGAGGAACACCGAUGGCAAGGCAGGAUCUCUGGGCUGUUACUGCGCUGAGGAGCGAAAGCAUGGGGAGCGAACAGGAUU